GAAUCAGAUUUGCACGAGAGAUGACCAUAGAAAUGUUCAGUAAUCCUGCUGAAACAAAAGCUGCGUUAAUCAUUUUGGUUUUGCCUUUAUGGGGGUAAAAUCAUGACAGAUUGACAUGGACAAUU
rnacentral:snoRNA from 1 species